rnacentral:rRNA from 1 species
UACGUAGGCAGCGAGCGUUGUUCGGAAUUACUGGGCGUAAAGAGUGUGUAGGCGGUGCUCUAAGUUCGGUGUGAAAUCUCCUGGCUCAACUGGGAGGGUGCGCCGAAAACUGGGAGACUAGAGUGCGGGAUGGGAGAGUAGAAUUCCUGGUGUAGCGGUGAAAUGCGUAGAUAUCAGGAGGAAUACCGGUGGUGUAGACGGCUCUCUGGACCGCCACUGACGCUGAGACACGAAAGCGUGGGUAGCAAACAGG